ensembl:lncRNA
GCUGCAAUGUAUCUCCAUAAAAGGUUCUCAGACUUCUUUAUCUGCUGGAGUCAGUACAUGUUUAUAUGUAAUUGUGUUAAUGUUUCUGUUCAGGAUGUGUGUGUUGAUCUUGGUCAGAGUAUGACUGAGGAGCUGAAGUGUGCAAUGUUAAUACAACAGAGCCACGAGGGUCUGGACUCUCUACAGGGUCGGAUAGAGGGCAGCUCUAAUGACUCGAAUGCAUUAAAGACUGUAGAGCAAGUGGAAGGAAACCUUCUAGUGGUUGAGAAACUGUCUGAGGUCCUGCAGACAAGCUGUACUCCAGAGGGUCAGACCUCUAUCUCUCAAGAAUCUCAAACAUUGUUUGGAAAGACGCCAGCCCUGAGGAAGAUCUUGGAAGAUGAGAGGACUCCGGAAGGCAACUCUGAUCCAGAUCAAUGUUCCAUUCAGUGCAUCGAGCCUCAGCAGCCUGGAGCGUCCACAGAGGAGCUCCAGUCAGUUCAGGUUGCCGCUGACAGUGAAGUGGAUGACAUGGAUCGUAUGAAUGUAAAAUUCUUGCCCACAAAUGAAGUUAGUGAAACAGAAGAUCAAUCACCUUGCUCAGAACAACAAGCAACCAAAGAUCUUGGGUACCUUCCAUCAGGCCACGACUCAAAUAAGCAGCUGCUCAUGUCUGGAUCUAAAGAGAUAGAUAAAACUGGAUCUAUUUUAAGAGAAGGUGACAGAAAAUCCACUCAUGGCUCAUCCUGUGAAUCAUUCAAGCCUGUCUUUACCAUAGUAUUGGACUCUGAUCUUACCAAACCCAACCAGAACCCACUAACACAAGUCAUUCAAGCUUCUUCAGCUAAAUGGGAUACUGUUUCAGUUUUUCAUGAUAGGACCGCAGAGACAUCAGCGGAUGGCUUGAAACACUUGGAAGUCAAACCAAAUGUUGAUUUAGCUGUGGAUGAAGAACAUGAUGCAAUAAGCUCUUCCGAUGAACCUAUACAUUUAUGUGCUGAUCUUUCAAAAUCAGAAGUGCAGUUCAAAGAAAACAGCCACACCGAUAACAUUGAACCCACUCGUUCUGAUCUAGACCUUGAUUUCAGGCCUAAACCAGAGAAGGACUCGUCUACUCAAGCAUUUGACCCAAUGCUUUCAUACCCAGAGAAGCAUCAAGGAAGCUCUGGAACUGCGAAGAAAGUAUUUACCAUCAUCCUAGAUGUUGAUACUCCUGUAUUAUCAUCAGCCAGGUAUCAAUCACUGCAAGAGACACAGUGUACAGGUCCUGAAGACUCAACCACAGAUGAAUUCUCCCAUUCAGAUGUAAAAAAUCAACAGAGGAUCUCCUCUGGUACUGAGAAACCUGAAGGCCAAAUGGCUGAAGUAGAUUUAUCAGAAGAGUCCAAUGUGAUAUCAAGAAGCUCUGAAAUACAGCCAGGACAUAAGGCAGCUACGCUUAUCCAACCCCAAACCCCUGAGAUCAUGGAGAUUGAUGUUCAAAUAGAUGAAAAAGAGAAGCAACAUGAAGUCACUGAUGCAGAAACAUCAAGCCAAAUGGAUGUCCACACUGGAGAAGGCAACGAGUCAGGGUCUGUAGUUCACCAACAGGAUGUCCCAGUGUUGGAGAGUGAUGAUGAGGAUGACAAAAACACCAUUGAAGAGGCUUCAAAUGAAGCAAAACCCCUUCAAAAGCCUCCAAAAGUUGCUAAAGGUAGGAACAAGAACAGAAAACCAGCUGGUGUAGAAAAAGCAAGCAAUGUCAGUAAUAAAAAGCUGAGCAAAUGUAAAUCUAAACAUAAGAGCACAACUGACUCAGAAAGCCUUCAAACUUCUGAGGUCAGGUUGCCGGACACCACAGAUACUUCACUGACUGUGUCUUCAGACUUUAGUGAGCCAAUCAUUGCAAAACCAUUGAGCACACAAGACAAACUAACAGUGGACACUGUGCAGAAAGAGACCUUGAAUCAAACUGAGACAGAGGAUGGACAUUUUGAAAAUGUUAGCAUCUCUCUUGCCGGAGAUGGCCAUAUUAGUACCAUAGAUAGUGUGGUUUUAGCAACAGUGGAGUCUGUGCAGUCAACACAUAAAGAGGACUCAGAAUUAACGCCAACAGAUUCUGUUGUGACAGCUGACUGUAGAACACAAAUUCCUACCGCAGUCCAAUCAGAGUCACAACUCAGCCAUGCUGAAGCUCGGAGGACAGAGGAUUCAGAUGGCAGUUUCCCUUUGCAGUAUGAAGAAAUGCACAGAGUCAAUUCACAUCCAUCCGCCGGCAACAAAACACCCCAAAGCAGAGGAUCAGUACCAGACGGUGAGGAUAAAACGAGGCAUGUGGAGCAGCCUACUGGAACACAUGUGUGGGCCGUUUUACUGAACACCAUCACUAAUGUUCAGCCGCUACUGAUGACCAGUCACGGUUCUGAGGAAUCUAGACCAAGGAAAGAUUCCGUGUUUCAGAAUGCAUCGCUUUUAGAAUCUGAGAGCAGUCUGGCAUGGACUGUCCUGUGGGUGUUCAGAUGUCGGUACCGACCGGCCCAACUCCGCAUUGAACAUAUGACUCAACAGCUGGAAGAAGCUGAGAUCUGCCAGCAGUGUGUUAUGGAGCAGGUGGCUAGACUGCCUCAAAGUGAAUCUAGUGCAGCAUGCUCUUCAAAGCCCGAGCAAACCAUAGAGGGCAGAUGGAAAACAGUACUGAUGGAUACUUCAACUAUGGUGGAGUACAAAAAGACACAGCUCCAGCAGGUCACACAGUACCACCAGCAAAAACGGGCUCUCGCGGAUACUCUACACGACCUGGAGGCUGAGCUCAGCACACUGACACAGUGAGCAUCCUUGACAUUUUAUAGUGUGUGUGUGUGUUCCGGUAUACUCUGCAAAGAUGGCAAUAUCCAAAAUUCUUGUCCUUGUGGGGACAUUUUUUGGUCUCCAUGAGGAAAACAGCUUAUCAAUCAUACACAAUGAAGUUUUUUUUUUUUUUUUUUUGUUUAAUGUUUUUUUUUUCUGCUGAAAGUUUUGUUUUAGGGGUAGGGUAAGGGUAUAGAAAAUACAGUUUAUACAAUAUAAAAUCAUUACACCUAUGGAAUUUCCCAUUAAACAUGGAAAAUCUGUGUGUGUAAAUUCAUCUUUAACAUAGAUGAGAUGAUUCUAAAAUGUAUUUACCUUUACCUUUAAAUGUAUUUACCUUUAUCUGUGCCUUAGUGUUGAAACUGUACUUGAAAAUAAAUAAAAAAUAAAUGAAUUUGUAAUAGAAUUA